GGACGAUGCUUGCCGAUUUAGAUAAUCCUUCAUUCCUUCCUUGCUUUUUGAGCUUCAAAUUCAAGCUAUAACCUCAUCCCUUCUUUUCAAAACCCUAAUUCCUCUUUUCUCUCUUCCAAUCUCAUUUCUCAAGAUCGCUUUCGCUGCUUCCUCAGGAAUUAUGUCUUUUGUGCGGAAUUAUCAAGCAGAAGAUCGUAGUUUACAUAGUGGUUACUGGUCCACCUUUGAUGGAAACAACUAUGGUAACAACAAUAGGAAAAGAAGCAGGAACAAUUAUUAUAACAGGAAUUGUAACAUUUACAAUGAUAACCGGACAAAAUUUGGGGACCAUUUUAAUUUUUACAAUGCUGAUCAUGCUAAUUAUGCUAGAUAUGACGCUGUUCGAUCAUCUUUGAAAAGGAGAAAAUAUUCAGCCCCUGUUUGGCAAGAAAGCCAGCAGUACUAUGUUCCACCCAUGGUCCAUGACAAUAUCCCUUCAGCCUAUAAUUUCCAAGGUCCUCCGACAAGAUCUGAUGGUGAUGCCUCUACAUCAGCUAGCUGCAAGCGUGAUUGCUCUAUUUUUGAAGAUGAUAAACCUGUCUUCAUGUCAAGGGACGAAAUUGAUAGACACUCUCCAUCAAGAAAAGAUGGUAUUGAUGUACAUCAUGAGACACACUUGCGGUACUCCUAUUGUGCCUUCCUUCAGAAUCUUGGAAUGCGUCUUGAGCUGCCUCAAAACAUCAUUGGGACAGCUAUGGUUCUGUGCCACCGUUUCUUUGUUCGACGAUCACAUGCUUGCCAUGAUAGAUUUUUGAUUGCUACUGCUGCUCUUUUUCUUACUGCAAAGUCAGAGGAAGCUCCACGUCAUUUGAAUAACGUAUUGAGAACAUCCAGUGAAAUUUUAUAUAAACAAGAUUUUGCUUUGUUAUCCUACCGGUUUCCUGUCGAUUGGUUUGAACAGUAUCGGGAGCGGGUGCUUGAGGCUGAACAACUGAUACUUACUACUCUAAAUUUUGAACUCAAUGUGCAACAUCCAUAUGUACCUCUUACAUCUGUUCUUAACAAGUUGGGUCUAUCAAAGACUGUUUUGGUGAAUCUGGCAUUAAACUUGGUCAGUGAAGGGAUCUUCACAAGAUUAGCGUGCUGGCCAGUAUGAUAUUCUUAGCUGGUGGAUUGAUAUGCUGUUCAUCAAAAGUUUUGUUUUACAUCUGAAGUUGAACUGCUGAUGUCUAAUGGAUUGCAUUAUCUUGAAUAUGUCCCAUCAAAUAUUAUUUUGGCUAGCCAAGCUAGCCACAAGAGCCCUAACCUGCCAACUCAGAUUUUCUGUCUAACCCUCAACACCUUGUAGUUUAUGCUGAUUUCCAUUAGCCAAAUGGGCUCUCUAUAAUUUUAGUAAAUUUGGUUGAAAGAAGAUCAUAAAGUGAUUUAACAAUCAGAAAACAACAAAAAGAAAAAGAGAGUGAGAGAGAGAGACAGAAGCAAACAGUCUGAAAUUUAAACAUGAAAUGAAUCUUUUACUGUUCCGAACAAGUUUUGGUCAAUAAUUACCCAUUGAUCGAAAUGAGGCCUUUCAACUAGAUUCAACUUAUUAUGUGGAGGAAAAUAGAGGUCUUCUCUACUGCUGGUUUUUUUUUUAACAAAAGAGUCAAGAGUAUCUCGGAUACUGUGUUUUUGUUUAUUCUCUUUUUCUUAGAUGAAAAGAAACCAUUCCUCAGUCUAUAUUGAUUCCAACAGUGUUAUCAAUGGCGGAAGGCCUAAAUUCUGUCAUAUAAACACGUCAGAGUGGCCUAUGGUGCCACCAUAGUGGGCUUCCCUUUACAAAAUGCCUAUGGCAGUUGGCAAAAAAUCUGCCACACCAUUCCGCCAUGGCAGCUAUGGCACCUACAUUUAACUACGGAUUUGGGAGAAAAAUUCUAGGACAAAUCUGCUGGUAAAAUUCUCUUUUGAAGUAUUUCCAUUGUGGUCAGUUUAAUUGCCAAAUUUUGGGUUUGUGAAAGGUUUCUUAAUUUCCUCCUCAUUUCCAACCAAAAUGAAUAUUUUGGUAACUCAAAUGGAUUAAUUUAAUCAUAUUUGAUUUUCCCCCCUAUGUUUUUUAAAUUUGAAUUUAAUUUUGUUCCGUUGUCAAUCUAUAAGAUGUUUUCACUUUAUACAAUAAUUUGUUGAUGCAUCUAGAAAAAGUUAGACUUGACAACUACCUCAAAAGUCAUACUUAAUGAUUUAUAGAAAAUGAUGGGAUGAUGUUGUUCAAAAUUUUAUAUUGUCAAUAUAUGAAUAUGUGUAGACAUUUAAUCUAAUUUUGACCUAACCAAUUCUUUUUUUUCUUUCAAAAUUUCAAAUAUCUUUGUCCUGUUGAUGCUGUCUAUUACAAAUCGCUCAUUGAAACCUUUCUUGUUUCUUUGUUCAUUGACACAGUCUUGUAACGAGAAUGGAGACUUUUAAGAAUUUUUAUGGCUUUCAUUUGGAAUGGAAGAAAUCGAAUUUAUUUAACUCAAAAUUGUUGGCCAACCUAGCUUAGUGGGACAAAGCUUUGUUUUUUAGUGUGAUUUGUUUAGUUUUAACAUUAGGCAUUGGUCAUGAUUUUGAUAAGUUCUUCUUGUGUUAACACUUAGAUUGCAGAAGUUAUUGAAAAUCUGAAAUGAGAAGCCAUUAAGUUAGUGUUCAACUUUUGAAGUAGAUGUCCUAAAGUUUAAAUAUUUGACUCUAUCAGUCAAUGAUUUUUUCCUUAUUACUAGCAACUUCCUGGUGGUUAUAGGUUGAUUUUUUUCUUCUGUCCUUGCUAUAAAAGUUCUCAAAUUUACUGAUUAUAAUUAUAUAGGCAAAAUUGCAUUUUUGGUCCCCCUAGUUGUCUCUAAUUUUGAUUUUAGUCCCCCUUUAAAUUUAUUCACGAAUUUAGUCCUUCAAUUAUGUCCAAUCCCAUAAAUGUGAUUCCUAAGUCCAGAUUUUGACGUUGACUGUUCCAAAGGAACGUUGAUUGCCACGUGACAUUCAUCGUCCAAUUAGAACGUGGCACGUGACAUUCAUUGUCCAAUCAGAACGUGACAUGGGGUAGUGAAUGUUCCUUCGUAACAGUCAACGUCUAAAUCUGGACUUGGGGAUCACAUUUACGGGAUUGUACAUAAUUGAAGGACUAAAUUCGUGAAUAAAUUUAAAGAGGGACUAAAAUCAAAAUUGGAGACAACUAGAGGGACCAAAAAUGCAAUUUUGCCAAUUAUAUAUUAUGCUUAUGUACUCCUGGCCCCAAAAACAUGAUGCUGAAGUUGGCUCACACUUUACUUUCAUUCUUCAUGUGAUUUGACAUCUAGUGGUCUUUUCUUUAGAUGUCAGCCUUAAUUCUUUGAAAAUGUUAUUGGUUGGAGAGGUUGAUCUUUAUUAUGAUUUAAGUGCCUCAGCAUCUUCAUGAAAUAUCAAUACUAAUGGUACCAGUGUUAUCUGUUGGUAUGGCUGGCCUGCUAAACUUCAAUGGAUCAUGUAUAAAAGAGAUUUUGCUUCUGUCUUGAGUUAAAUUGCUCAAAUGUUUUGAUGACUCAAAACCCUUCUUUGUUGGAUGGGUUGUGAACAGUGGCUCACUCCUUAUGCUUUUAAUUGCUAAAGGAAGUUUUGUACUAUUUCUAUGGUCUUGGUCAAAGCAGCCCUUCUUUUUAUCCUUCUUCUCCAAUAUGAUUUACAGCUAAUACCUUCAUUUCUUCUGGAAGUUCUGCACAACUAGUGUGAAAGUUAUAAUGUACUGGAUUUUGUGUGCUCAACCUUGAAAGACAAGAAGGAUUAAAAAAGUGAAACUUUUCUUUUUCCUGUUCUAUUCUUAUCCUUGUUCCUCUUAAAAAGGGUCAGUUUGUAUUUGAUGUAGUGGUUGUAUGCAGCCUACAUACCUUGUCAUAAGUUGACAACAUUCCACUUGAAGGGUAAUCAUGUGCAAAUUUGGCUUUUUGAAAAAUAGUGCUAGACUGGUUAGGGUUUGCUUAGAAGUUUCUUUUUCUUUUUUGGGAAAGUGGUCACCCCGAAGCUGUUUACCCUUGCACCCUAAGGUCACAAUAAGGACCUCCCAAUUGUUGAAACAAAUAGAGGUGCUAGAACAGUGAGACAUAUUUUUGUCACAUACUAAUCAAACUUUAUAAAUUUGUCAUUGUGCUUUCCAUGUAUGCCAACUUUGGAGGGAAAAUACAAUAAGUUUGUACUGAAGUCAUUAACUAGCUUUCUGCUUCAAUUUGUUAUAUUGUGUAGUGAGUUUUAAACUUCUAAUUUACACCUGCAACAUGCACAUUUGUUGGAUUUGUUCUAUAGUGUGUUGAAUAAGUUGCAUUCAAAGUAAACAUUCCAAUGUACAUGGUAGCAAAACUCUCCAGGUCAAAAUAUUGAGAAGAUAUGGCAUUGACAUUAGCUUUGAAAGAUUCAAUUGUUAGCAAUAUGCAGCACAGCACUCCAUGCAUGCUUUCUCUUUUUAGUUGCAUAAAUUUCUGGAGUUUAGAGCCCCCACAGCACAGUUGGGUCUGGAAGUCUGAUAAAUUCUCUAGAUGAGUAUAAAAUAUUGCUAUAGUUUGGUACUCUUAUCAGCAAUCCUGCACAGAUUCUUGGAAUUGUAUUCUUCCUGAGUUGCUGCUUUUAUAGUUGCUGACAUGAUCUGUCAUGGUGGGAACAUAUGCUAAGUUGAUGCCUCGGAUGGUUAGUUUGACUAUUUAUGAACCUCUAUUUGUGUUGAACAAUGCUGGCUGUAGUGAUGGCUGUCUUGUAAGGUCUACUGAUACUGAAAAUUGUUUUGCAGGCUUCGGAGUUCUCUGUGGCUUCAAUUUAAACCCCAUCAUAUUGCUGCUGGAGCUGCAUAUCUUGCUGCCAAGUUUCUGAACAUGGAUCUCGCAGCUUAUCAGAACAUCUGGCAAGAGUUCCAGACAACACCAU